CGAACGGGUGAGUAACGCGUGAGGAACCUGCCUCAAAGAGGGGGACAACGGUUGGAAACGACUGCUAAUACCGCAUAAGCCCACGGCUCGGCAUCGAGCAGAGGGAAAAGGAGCAAUCCGCUUUGAGAUGGCCUCGCGUCCGAUUAGCUAGUUGGUGAGGUAACGGCCCACCAAGGCGACGAUCGGUAGCCGGACUGAGAGGUUGAACGGCCACAUUGGGACUGAGACACGGCCCAG
rnacentral:rRNA from 1 species